AGCUCGGUAGCUCAAUUGGUAGAGCGCUGGUCUCCAAAGCCAGUGGUUCCGUGUUCGAGUCACGGCCGGGUUGC
rnacentral:tRNA from 1 species